CAAAAGUUUCACCGAGGCAAAAUUUUCUCCCCAAUUUUCGUUAAGGCAAAAUUCCCCACCCAUUUUUCAUUCAAGGCAAAAUUUCCAACCCAUUUUUCAAAAAUUUCCCUUUAUUCUCUUUUCGUCUUCUUCAAUGUUUCUUUCAGCAGCCCGACAUCUCUAACAUGCUAGGGCUUCUUAAAAUCACUCUCUAAUUAACUGUAACAAUGGUGUUCAAGAACAAACUCUUCUUCUCUUCCAAGAAAUCCUUCGACUUCGAUGGAUCCAACUCUCCUCGAUCCUUCGGAUCAAACUCCCCAAUCCGAUCAAUUAUCGGAAACAAUUGGAAGAAUUACAAAAAUAGCUCGGAGAGAAACAUAUAUUUGAAGAUUCUGUCCCCAAGAUCAAUUCUCUUCUUCACGAUCAAUUUCCCUCUGAUUCUCCACCUCUUCGCAAUGUGAAGAAGUCCCAUGAGAGUAUCAACAGCAGGCUUGCUCUUGUCAUGAAGAGUGGCAAGUACACUUUGGGUUACAAAAUUGUGCUUCACACCCUAAGAAGCUCCAAAGCAAAGCUGGUUAUCAUUGCCAACAACCGCCCUCCUUUUCGGAAGUUUGAGAUAGAGUACUAUGCAAUGUUGGCUAAAGUUGGGGUUCACCACUACAAUGGGACGUGAAAGAAGGAUUGGACUUUAUUAAAGAGGCUACCAGCAGAAUAGGGUAUGGUGAGAAGAUAAAGAUAGCUAUCGAUGUUGUUUCCACUGAUUUUUGCAAAGGUUUUUGAAGAAUUUGAUCUUGUUCCUAUAGAAAGUGCUUCCCUUGCACAAGUUCAUGUUGCUCGUACGCAUGAUAGCAAAAAGUUGCUUUUAAGGUUCAGCAUACACACAUGACCGAUACUGCGGCUGCAGAUCAUGCCACUAUGGAGCUGAUUGUGAAUACCCUUCAUAAGUUUUUUCCUUCUUUUGACUAUAGAUGGUUGCUUGAUGAAAUGCGUGAAAGUUUGCCCAAGGUCAACUUCUUUAAUAAGUGCUUUUUCAUUUUAAAUAUUUUCCUCAUGAUUCAUGCAUGUCAUAUUUUAAUUGUGAAAUCUACUUUAAUAACUUCUGAAAUUUAAAUGAAAUAAUAUUUUUCUAAUAUAAUGCUUAUGACAUAUGCUUUGUUUCGAUGUUUUCUACUACUUGAAUGUCUUUAUAAUUCUGUAACGUGGGAUCUAGGCGGCAAACCAAAAUCUAAUUGCUUAUUGCAAAUACUGUUGCUAUGUAAUUGAACUUCUGUAGACUUGUUAGAAAUGAAACUCCUCUAGGUUUCUAUUUUCAAUUAUUUGAAAUGAACUUUUGUUGCUAUGUAAAUGAACUUCUAUAGACUUGUUCAGAACGAAUUGUGCUACUGACUUUGGGUAUUGGAAGACCACAGGAAAGGAUAGGCCUGUUCACUACAAUAGUGAAGCUGUGGGGAUGAUAAAGACUCUGGCUUUCCACCGAGGUAAAGCUCCAAAAGGUGACCGAACUGAUUGGGUUAUGCAUUUUUGUUUUAGCUUUAUGCACACAUGAUAGUGCAUUUUUGGAAUUUUAUUGCUCAUGUUGCUAAAAAAUCCAUGUAUGGACUAUUGACU